rnacentral:sRNA from 1 species
UUGGAGGAUCCCGACAAGUUACGUCCAGC